rnacentral:rRNA from 1 species
CCUACGGGGGGCAGCAGUGAGGAAUAUUGGUCAAUGGGCGGGAGCCUGAACCAGCCAAGUCGCGUGAGGGAUGACGGCCCUAUGGGUUGUAAACCUCUUUUGCCGGGGAGCAAAGUGCCGCACGUGUGCGGUUUGGAGAGUACCCGGAGAAAAAGCAACGGCAAACUCCGUGCCAGCAGCCGCGGUAAUUCGGAGGAUGCGAGUGUUAUCCGGAUUGUUUGGGUUUAGUGGGUGGGUAGGGGGACGCUUAAGUCAGCGGGAAAAUUGCGGGGCUCAACCAGGUCGGGCCGUUGAAACUGGGUGCCUUGAGUGGGCGAGAGGUACGCGGAAUGCGUGGUGUAGCGGUGAAAUGCAUAGAUAUCAGGCAGAACUCCGGUUGCGAAGGCGGCGUACCGGCGCCCAACUGACGCUGAAGCACGAAGGCGUGGGUAUCGAACAGGAUUAGAUACCCGGGUAGUC